AAUAAGACUUGGCUGUCUAAUACAGCUAAUACGAAGGUUAGCAUCACAGCUUGUCUGUAAAGAUUGAAGCUGGGAGUGUGCAUUGGAGCUUACUUUUAUGGUAACUGUAGCUGCAUAAACGGGCUAUGUGAUUUUACUGUAACAGUAAAGAAUGUAAUUCAGACUAUUUUUGUGUAUGAGAAAAUGUUUAUAAUUUUUACAAAAAGAAAAAAAAAUGAUGUACAGGUUCUCUAUUUUCAACAAGAUUGGAAGUUGUAGGUUAAUAUGUCUUUGAAAUUUCAAAAAUUACUUUCUAUUUUCUGUUCAUACUCAUGUCUAGGCAAAACACUUCCAGUAGUUUAAGAAUGGAGAAUCUAAAAAAAAAAAGAAAAAAAAAAAAAAAAAAAAAGAAAAGAAAAAGAGAAAAAAAUGUUCAAUUAUUGAAAUGUUUUUUAUUUUUGCAAAUUGUAAUAUAUUUUUUCACCUUUGUGUCAUUUUUAGCUGAGUUUAUAAACAAAGGGUAUAUUAUUUUAAGAAUAUUUUGCAAGAAGCAUAGUUGAAGAAUAUCUUGAUGAAAGUAGAUUGAUU